AGUAACGCGUGGAUAACCUGCCUCACACAGGGGGAUAACAGUUAGAAAUGACUGCUAAUACCGCAUAAGCGCACGGUACCGCAUGGUACAGUGUGAAAAACUCCGGUGGUGUGAGAUGGAUCCGCGUCUGAUUAGGUAGUUGGUGAGGUAACGGCCCACCAAGCCGACGAUCAGUAGCCGACCUGAGAGGGUGACCGGCCACAUUGGGACUGAGACACGGCCCAA
rnacentral:rRNA from 1 species